rnacentral:rRNA from 1 species
GACGGAGGGGGCUAGCGUUGUUCGGAAUUACUGGGCGUAAAGGGCGCGCAGGCGGUCGCUCAAGUCAGGCGUGAAAGCCCCGGGCUCAACCUGGGAAUAGCGCUUGAGACUGAGCGACUUGAGUUCGGGAGAGGAGAGCGGAAUUCCCAGUGUAGAGGUGAAAUUCGUAGAUAUCUUGAGGAACACCGGUGGCGAAGGCGGCAUCCUGGACCAACACUGACGCUGAGGAGCGAAAGCCAGGGGAGCAAACGGG